rnacentral:rRNA from 1 species
CCCUUAGACGUUCUGGGCCGCACGCGCGCUACACUGACACAGGCAACGAGCUUUCCUUUACCGAAAGGUAUGGGUAAUCUUUUGAAACUGUGUCGUGCUGGGGAUAGAUCCUUGCAACUUUUGAUCUUAAACGAGGAAUUCCUAGUAAGCGCGAGUCAUCAACUCGCGUUGAUUACGUCCCUGCCCUUUGUACACACCGCCCGUCGCUACUACCGAUUGAAUGGCUUAGUGAGGCCUCAGGAUCCGCGCUUAAUGUGUGGAGAAUUUGGACAAACUACGUCAUUUAGAGGAAGUAAAAGUCGUAACA